rnacentral:misc_RNA from 1 species
GUGACUGCGGAGGAUCAUUAUCGUACAAAAUGUGUGAGGCAUGUGACGGCUGUCGCCGACUCAAAAAGUUGUGCACGCCGGAGGGUGUCCUCUCACAUAAUAAUCCAUCUCACCCUUUGUGCAUCACCGCGUGGGCACCCCUUUGGGAUCGGACCGAUCUCGGAAGGGGGGUUCACGUUUUCACACAAACCCCCCCC